CUCCCCGCACCGCCCGCACAACCGCGGCCCUCGCGAAGAGUCCGGGCUGCGUGUGAGGAGAGGGGAUCGCGUGUUGGAUUCCGCGAGGGCGACUGGGGAGAGCUGAGGCAGUUGGGCCUGUUCGGCCUCGAGAAGAGACGGGUGAGAGGGCUCCUCGUUAAGAGAUGCCAAGAGAUUCCUCCCAUGCUCCAAUGAAAUGCUGCUUCUGCACUUCAGGCAGCUCCAGGAAGCGACAAGUUCAGCCUGAUUGUGUUUGAGGACACUGGAUAAACUUUGAAAAUUAUAAACAAAGCAACAAUGUGAGUAUAAUUAGAAAGAAAAAAAAGCAAUGUCAAUAUAACAAAAGUGACAUCAAUUAAGAUGUUUUUCCUUA